CCUACGGGAGGCAGCCGUGAGGAAUAUUGGUCAAUGGACGAGAGUCUGAACCAGCCAAGUAGCGUGAAGGAUGACUGCCCUAUGGGUUGUAAACUUCUUUUAUAUGGGAAUAACAUGUUCUACGUGUGGGACUUUGUAUGUACCAUAUGAAUAAGGACCGGCUAAUUCCGUGCCAGCAGCCGCGGUAAUACGGAGGAUCCGAGCGUUAUCCGGAUUUAUUGGGUUUAAAGGGAGCGUAGGUGGAUUGUUAAGUCAGUUGUGAAAGUUUGCGGCUCAACCGUAACAUUGCAGUUGAAACUGGCAGUCUUGAGUACAGGAGAGGUGGGCGGAAUUCGUGGUGUAGCGGUGAAAUGCUUAGAUAUCACGAAGAACUCCGAUUGCGAAGGCAGCUCACUGGACUGCAACUGACACUGAGGCUCGAAAGUGUGGGUAUCAAACAGGAUUAGAUACCCUUGUAGUC
rnacentral:rRNA from 1 species